UACAAGUAUUUCAGAUAAACAUGUACAGAAAUAAAAUAUAGAAAUAUUUCGACUCAUUAACAUUGUGUGAUACGUUUUGUUUAGUGAAGAAAAAGUUUAAGUAACCUGGUCCUGUUUUUAUAAAGAGCUCUUGAUUAUAAACAGGUUAUGAAGAAUUUUCAUCUGAUGCAGAUUCCAGAGAAGAUAUUUUUAAUGAAAUGUGCUCGACUCUCAGCGGCAUUUCCUGAACUUUUUUCCCUCACACUGAGAAAUAAUCUGAAUUAAAUGUAACAUUUCCACAAAGUGUAAGAGCAGACAGUAUAAAGAAUAAACAGAAUAAACACUUACUGAAGAUCAA